AUCACUUCUUAGCCUUUUGGCUAAGAUCUUGCGUAGUACCUGUUCUUAUAAGUAUAAAAAACAUAUAAAAUUAAAUCAGUAGUCCAAAUUUUCUUUUUUUUAAAAAAUAUAUUUUAUUGAUUUUUUACAGAGAGGAAGGGAGAGGGAUAGAGAGUUAGAAACAUCGAUCAGCUGCCUCCUGCACACCCCCC